rnacentral:lncRNA from 1 species
ACAUAUCAUCUCACCCCAGUCAAAAUGGCUUUUAUCCAAAGACAGGCAAUAACAAAUACUGGUGAGGUGUGGAGAAAAGGGGACCCUUGCACACUGUUGGUGGGAAAGUAAAUUAGUAUAACCACUAUAGAGAAUAGUUAUGACAAAUGCUUGAGGUGAUGGAUACACAAUUACCUUGAUGUGAUUGUUAGACAAUGUAUUCCUGUGUCAAAUUAUCCCAUAUACCUCAUAAAUACAUAUACCUCUU